rnacentral:rRNA from 1 species
CUACGGGAGGCAGCAGUGGGGAAUAUUGGACAAUGGGCGCAAGCCUGAUCCAGCCAUGCCGCGUGAGUGAUGAAGGCCCUAGGGUUGUAAAGCUCUUUCACCGGAGAAGAUAAUGACGGUAUCCGGAGAAGAAGCCCCGGCUAACUUCGUGCCAGCAGCCGCGGUAAUACGAAGGGGGCUAGCGUUGUUCGGAAUUACUGGGCGUAAAGCGCACGUAGGCGGAUACUUAAGUCAGGGGUGAAAUCCCAGAGCUCAACUCUGGAACUGCCUUUGAUACUGGGUAUCUCGAGUAUGGAAGAGGUGAGUGGAAUUCCGAGUGUAGAGGUGAAAUUCGUAGAUAUUCGGAGGAACACCAGUGGCGAAGGCGGCUCACUGGUCCAUUACUGACGCUGAGGUGCGAAAGCGUGGGGAGCAAACAGGAUUAGAUACCCCGGUAGUCCC